CAAAGGAAUUGACGGGGGCCCGCACAAGCGGUGGAGCAUGUGGUUAAUUCGAAGCAACGCGAAGAACCUUACCAGGUCUUGACAUCCCGAUGCUAUUUCUAGAGAUAGAAAGUUACUUCGGUACAUCGGUGACAGGUGGUGCAUGGUUGUCGUCAGCUCGUGUCGUGAGAUGUUGGGUUAAGUCCCGCAACGAGCGCAACCCCUAUUGUUAGUUGCCAUCAUUCAGUUGGGCACUCUAGCGAGACUGCCGGUAAUAAACCGGAGGAAGGUGGGGAUGACGUCAAAUCAUCAUGCCCCUUAUGACCUGGGCUACACACGUGCUACAAUGGUUGGUACAACGAGUUGCGAGUCGGUGACGGCGAGCUAAUCUCUUAAAGCCAAUCUCAGUUCGGAUUGUAGGCUGCAACUCGCCUACAUGAAGUCGGAAUCGCUAGUAAUCGCGGAUCAGCACGCCCGCGGUCGAAUACGUUCCCGGGCCUU
rnacentral:rRNA from 1 species